AAGUAUUUCAGCAGAUGACAGACCGAUGUGCAGAGAACAGAAAUGUACAACAACAGGACACAGGAAGUUGCCAGCAAGCAAGAUUAAGGAUAAUCCGAAACACUACUGCAGGCGUGAAAUUUGCUGCCCAGAUACCAGGUUUCAGUGUCC